UUGGAAUCAGUGUCCCAAGGAGGUGAAGGAGUCCCUGUGUCUGGGAGUGUUCCAGAGGUGUCUGGAUGUGGCCCUUGGGGCCAUGGAUUAGGGGUGAUUGUGAUGGUGCUGGAUGAGGAUGGGACUGGAUGACCCUGAAGGUCUCUUCCAACUUUGGUGACUCUGCCCUGGAGUGACAGCACAAGGGGGAAUGGC